UCUUAAGUCUGGCAACGCAUUAUAACAAAUAAAAAAAUCAAAACAAAUGAAACACAAAAACAAAAUUCCCAAUUGUAUUUUUCGUCUUGAUUUAAUAACAACAACAACAAAAGAAGAUUUUUUGUGUUUUGUAUUUAAAAUACAUUGUUUUUGUUGUAUUUCGAAUCAGUUUUAUACAAGUGCAGUCAAAGUGUGGUUGAAUGAAAAUAACGCGUAGAUUUGUAAACAAUUUAAUAAUUGAGUAGAAAAAAAGGAGAAAAUUUAAACAUAUAAAUUAACAAAUAAUAUAAAAAGUGUGAAACUAAAAGCAAGAAGAAAAAAAAGAAGUGAGCAGAAAAGAAAUUCUUUUGUGUGGAAACGAAAAGAACCAACAACAACUACAAAUGUUUCGCGAAUAAAUUGCAACAGAACUUUAACUACGCAUUUAUAAAAACCAACAAAAUAAAGAAAAAAAUUAAAGAAAAAUUGUGUCGGGUCAUUGUGGAAAAGUUAUUAUUAUCAUAAAAUUAAAAUAAAUUAAUAACAUAACAGAUAAUAAAAUUAAAGCAGAGCAACACAUUAUUAAUUGAAUUGUGGUUUUCAAUUUAGAAGAAAAAGUUCAAUUAACGAAAGAGUAAAAAAAUCUUAAUUGAGUGCAAUAUUAGAAGUUGGGAAAAAAUUAAAAAGAAAAACUACUAAUGUAAUAAAUCUAAAAGAAAAUUUGCCAGAAAAAAAAACGAAAAAAGUCAUUAUUUCAUGUUGGCUAUCAUUGAUUAUUCGUUUUUGCUUUAUUUUAAUUUUUGAUUUAUUAGCUCAUUUUUAUUUGGGUUCUCUUUCUAACAUUUAAAUGCAAAUUAAAAUAAAAGUUUCUUUUGAUUUUGUUUUAAAUGUCAUGUAAAAUUCAAACGAAAACCAUGAAUUCUCUUGGAAAAACCAUCACACAUCAAAAUCAACGUAACGAUUUUUUUUAUUCUAGUU